rnacentral:lncRNA from 1 species
CACAAAAUGGAGAUGUUUUAUAUCUACUAAGUAACAGGUGAGGCUUCAGCAAAGAAUUCAUACGAGAUUAUCACGUAAUAGCAACAUGAUUUGCAAUUCUAAGGGAGCCCGGUACAAUCUUUCUUAAGAAUAUCAUACGGAUUUUUUCUUACUUCGAUCCGCCGUUACGUAUUUUUCGCAAAAGACGUGUGUUAGAGGGGUUGUCAAGAGAAUCGGCUCGGGUAUGUUAAGGCUAUCACUUCUUUCCUUUUGGCAUGAUCUAUAUGAUACAAAUGAAACGAGCAAAUGCACAACUUUCAUAAAUGACUCUAUUCAUAGAAGUGCUAGGGGUGUCUAUGUUUUUGAUUCCCCAUGUGUCUUAUUAUUAUAUCUUCUGUUCACGGGUCUUAGAAAAAUACGUAGUUGAUAAAGUUUAUCCGAAAGGCAUAUUGAUCUUAUGACAUUCCGAGAAAUCUUAUUAACACACUUUUUAUGCAUUUACACAUGUACAUUGACCCAUGAUCAGAUGACGUUAUAUACACUUAUAUUAUAUGUAUAAGAGAUAUGGGAAAAGGUUACGACGUUAUAUACGCACCACCACCUGAUCAACUGGUAUACGUUAAUGAUUUGCCACAGUGGCCGAGAUGAUAUGAUGGGAUGCCCUCAGAGGAUUGAUGAUGUUAUAUACUCAUAUACCUAUGUAUGAUAUAACAUUUAUAUGCAUAUGCAUGACAUUAUAAAAAUUAAAUGAUUCACAGAGCUAUUCAGACUUGAAUGUCGAGACUUUUACUCCAUGUUUCUCUCAUGUCUAUUAUUUACUAAUUUUCAUUCCUUACAUACUCCAUACAUUAUUUGUACUGAUGUCCCUUUUGCCUGGGGAUGCUGCAUUUCAUGCCCGCAGGUCCCGAUAGACAGGUUGAGAGUCCUCUUAGUAGGCUAUCAGCUCAGCGGAAGGUGUUGGUGUGCUCCAUUUACUUCAAAGUUGCUUAUUUGGUUAGUAUGAUUAGUACAUGUAUUGAUUGGUAAGGUGGGGCCCUGUCUCGACCUUUUUGAUAUUAUAUACUCUUAAAGGCUUGUUGACAUAUGUCAUGUAUACGACUACUUGUAUGGCCUUGUCGGCCUAUGUUUUGAGUAUAUAAUGGAUCAUGCCGGCCUUAUAGGCUCGUAUGUCAUAUGUAUAAGUCGGUAUAUCAUGUUGGGUCAUCCUAUGUCAAGUAUUCCCUCAUGCUUUAGUCUAGUUAUCUCAUGACAGCCUUUUCGGCUAAUUUACCUAUGAUAGUAUGACACGUAAG